AUGCCAAACUUCAUUGUGGUCAUUCAUUGCAUUGUAGUGUCGUGCAUCUCAGGUCUGCAGUGGUGGAACAGUUGUAAAAUGAACAUUAGUAGAACUGAAGGCGUGACCUUUGUUGCCUCAUCUUUCACAUAGUGGACACUUUUAAUGUGAAAGUUCUAAAUGGGAACUACAUUUCCUCUUAAGAAACAGGGUCGGGUAGUAAGGUAUAAGGUUGGCCAUCGCUGAUAGUGGACGGGACAUGGUGAUGCUGGAGGUGGAUACCCAGAAGCAGGGAUCAUGAUGGUCAGGGCCAUCCCUAGCUAAAGACUGCACAAUGGUGUACCAGCUAGCAUAACACUUUACAGUGCUAGCAACCCACUUCCACCCUGCUGCUGCCCGCAGGGAGAUUGUAUCUCCUUUCCAGGUUCUCUGGUUUCCUCCCACAUUUCAAACAUAUGUGGGUCAGUAAAGAUUCGGAAGUUGUGGAUGUGCUUUGUUGGUGCUGGAAGAACGUUGUCAUUUGCAAGCUGCCUCUAGCACACUUUUGGACAUCGUUUGUGAUGCAUUUUACAGUAUGUUUUGAUGUUUCGAGGCACAUAUGAUAAAUAAAGCUAAUCAUCUAUCUUUAAAGAUCAACAUAGGUACUUGCAAGAAUAAAAUGGCUGUGGAUCAGCUAGCUUUGGAGCAGGUGUUCAGCUGAACAGCUAGGAAGUUAUUUGGUUUCAUGAUUUCUACUGCAAGCAGUGCUCUCAGCCUUUCCUCACAUCAUGUGGAAGGAAUCUUGUGAUGGUGGAUGCUGAGGGAAUCAUUCAAUCGGUACUUCAGAGUGAGCAGUGUUGUGAAUGCUUCAGUAUCCAUGCUUUCACCCUUCUCCCGUUCCAUGAACAGCCUCCUCUGAUUAAUUGUUCAGUUGUCUACUAGUUUUGGAUAUUGCUAGAUGGAGCUGUAAUCUAAUUCAUUGGGCUAGGAAUUGUUUAGCUGUGACAAUGUUGUUUAUCCAUCUAUCAUUAAGUACCCUCACCAUCCGGGACAUGUCCUCUUUUCAUUACAAUCAGCGAGGAAGCAAAGGAACUAGAAGACCCAUGCUCAAAGUUUUAGGAACAGCUUCUUCCCCUUUACCAUCAAAUUUCUGAACAGUCUGUGAACCCAUGAACACUACAACAUUGUUCUUCUUUUGCACUAUUAAUUAAUAACUAAUUAUUAAUUAUCUAUUAUUAAUUAGUUAUUCCUGAUGCAAUAUGUAGAUAACCCAACUAAAAGAGAGGCUGUACUUGAUGUGGUAUUGGGAAAAUGAACCUGGUCAGGUGUCAGAUCUCUUGGUGGUUGAGCAUUUUGGAUGUAGUUAUCUCCUUCACCAUAGCGCUGGGGAGGGAUAGGAGCAGACAAUUUGGGAAAAUAUCUAAUUGGGGUAGGGGAAAGUAUGAUGCUGUUAGUAUGAUGCUGUUAGGCAGGGACCUGGGAACAUAAAUUGGGAGCAGAUGUUCUUAGGGAAAUGCAUGGCAUAAAUGUGGCUUAUAUACUGCUCAUAUGUGAUGCUGUUGUGAGUAAGCUUUUCUCUUCACCUGUACAUACAAGUACUUGUGCAUAUGACAAUAAACGUGACUUUGAGUUUGACUUAAGAUAGGUUCAGCAUUGGACACACACAUGACCAGGGUCCCACCCAGUGCAGCUGCAACCAGGAUUGAAAAUUCACUCCUGAGGCGAUGCCUCCUGUAGAUUCUACUGCUGGUGGGAAUGGAUGUGCCCAUGAUGUAUUGGGCAGAGCCUACUACUCUCUACAGUUUCUUAUGUUCCUACAUGUUCAAAUUGCCACGCCAAACCAUGAUGUCGCCAGUCAAUUAUACCUUUCUACAUUCCUCAAGGGAUGGUCCCCUCUCAGAAGAAAGUGUCGAGAGCAACACACACUACGCUGGAGGAACUCAGCAGGUCAGGCAGCACCUGUAGAGGAGGAAUAAACAAUUGAUGUUUUGAGCCGAGACCCUUCAUCACAAAUGUGCUGGAAAAGAGAUGAUGUUCAUUGUGGUGUGCUGAUCAUAGGAUAAUCAACUGCAAGGUGUCAAAAGACAAGACUGGAAACUUCUUUCAAAAAGAACACAGAGCUGACUACAAAUAGGCAGCUCUCUGAUGGCAAUGAUGUGAUAAGAAGCCUUCAGAGCCGUUGGGCAGAAGUCGCUUUCCAAGCUGACCUGGCAGAGUGACCGAAGGUCUGGAGGCAGCCUGGACACUGGGAGCGAAGCACACAAGAAGUAAAUGCAAGACGUCGAAUAACAUGGGGAUGGAGGCUUGCAUUCGGGAAGGGAAGUGUACUUCAGACUGUUUGACAAACACAUCAUCAUCACACCAAGGCAUCCAGAGCCAUUGUUACUACAAGGCUGAACUUCCUGCAAUAUCUUAAAAAAGUUGGCAGCAAUGGAGAUCAGAGGGAGGGUAGAGCUAACUUCACUGUGUGGUCAGGGUUUCAGUCCACUUCAGAACACAUUUCACACAGAGCAAUCACUGGAGUGGAAAUCGGGCAUGUAGAAGAAUAAUUAGUCCUGAUGAAGGAUCUCAGCCCAAAACGUCGACGAUGCUUAUUUCUAUAGAUGCUGCCUGGCCUGCUGCAUUCUACCAGCAUUCUGUGUGUGAAGAUGAAAAGAGGAUGGCUUCUACAACAGGAUAAUGAACCUAAACACACCUCAAAAUCCACAAUGGACUAUCUCAAGAGGCGCAAGAUGAGGGUUCUGCCAUGGCUCUCACAGUCCCCUGACCUAAACAUCAUCAAAAAUCUGUGGAUAGACCUCAAAAGAGCAGUGUAUGCAAGAUGACCCAAGAAUCUCACAGAACUAGAAGCCUUUUGCAAGGAAGAAUGGGUGAAAAUCUCCCAAACAAGAAUUGAAAGACUCUCAGCUGGCUACAGAAAGUGUUUACAAGCUGUGAUACUUGCCAAAGGGGGUGUAACUAAGUACUGACCAUGCAGGGUGCCCAAACUUUUGCUUUGGGCCCUUUUCCUUUUUCAUUACUUGGAAACUGUAAAAGAUGGAAAUAAAAAAGUAAUCUUGCUUAAAAU